GACAGAGGGUGCAAACGUUGUUCGGAAUUACUGGGCGUAAAGCGCGUGUAGGCGGCAGGGCAAGUCGGAUGUGAAAUCCCAUGGCUCAACCAUGGAAGUGCACCCGAAACUGCCCAGCUAGAGUCUCGGAGAGGAAGGUGGAAUGCUUGGUGUAGAGGUGAAAUUCGUAGAUAUCAAGCGGAACACCGGUGGCGAAGGCGGCCUUCUGGACGAUGACUGACUCUGAGACUCGAAAUCGUGGUUAGCAAACAGG
rnacentral:rRNA from 1 species